GUGUCAGCCGCCGCGGUAAUACGAAGGGGGCUAGCGUUGUUCGGAUUUACUGGGCGUAAAGCGCACGUAGGCGGACUAUUAAGUCAGGGGUGAAAUCCCGGGGCUCAACCCCGGAACUGCCUUUGAUACUGGUAGUCUUGAGUUCGAGAGAGGUGAGUGGAAUUCCGAGUGUAGAGGUGAAAUUCGUAGAUAUUCGGAGGAACACCAGUGGCGAAGGCGGCUCACUGGCUCGAUACUGACGCUGAGGUGCGAAAGCGUGGGGCGCAAACAGGAUUAGAAACCCCCGUAGUCC
rnacentral:rRNA from 1 species